CCUUAACAUGAUGGUUAUACUCAGUCUUAUGAACCCCUUCUUUUUGCAUCUUGUGUUCUCUAAACACAGAAAAACACAGAUUGCAAAAAGGAGCUGAAUUGAAAGAAUUCUAAACCUCAGUUCGAGUCACAGCUUGUCUAUUUCAGCCAGAAGUUUGCCAUUUUGGGUCUUGAUUCUCCACAAUUCACUGUUUUGUGUAUUGUAAAGUACUGGCAUUAUAGCCAGAGCAAGAAUUGUCCAUUUCUGGACAUAGGCUAGGUCAAGAUUUUAAUGGGAUCAAGAUGAAAUCAGAUAGGGUUAGUGACAGAUCCCUGGGGAGGAUGUGUCAGGUUUGUAGGGUCCAUUAGAGGCAAAAUCAUGUAAUCAGAUUGACCAUGCGACAUUUGUAAACACCUUGGGCAUUUUAAUAUACAGAGGAGUAUUUAGGGCAGCCUCACAAAUGUCAUUAUAGGCUUUAAGUUAAGGGGGUAAGGCCACCCUCCAUUUGUGGUGUUAUCCAUUGUACAGCGCUACGGAAUCUGAUGGCGCUAUAUAAAUAAUAAAAUAAAAUAAUAAGGCCUUAUGGUAAAAAUCCUAACAGUUUUAAUUGUAUUUUGAUAUAUCAUGGUUUGAUGAUUUAAAG